AAACCGUUCAGGGGUAAACCUGUGAAACCCAAAAGAUCGAAUGAGGAGAUUCAUCGUCAGCGUAUUUAGUAUUAAUGCAGGCUAUGAUGUGAUAAUAGAAUCCUCGUGGUCACUAGAUUAUACUUGCUUGUAUUAUUUUUGCUGGGUAUGUCGGCGUGCACUUCUCCUCUAGUAGAACGUCGCAACCCGUUGGAUGUUUAUCUAUGGUCUAAUAGGUAGCCUUUGAUAUUUAUUAUAUUGGAGACCUUUUGGUGUCCUGAUAAACUGUCUGACGGUAUACAUNAUAGUAUAGAGCCGCAAUUAUUUGCGUUAGACUUGCCGCAAGUAAAGCUUUCGUUUGGUAGUGCGGAUUUAAUGCCGUCGCUGGNACAAAGUUUGCUGUUAGUUGGUAAUGUCUUUAACUGGCUUAUUUACUGGUUAGCGAUGCUACUGCUUUGGGUACUUACAGGACCCGUCUUGAAACACGG
rnacentral:rRNA from 1 species